rnacentral:rRNA from 1 species
UACGUAGGGUGCAAGCGUUAAUCGGAAUUACUGGGCGUAAAGCGUGCGCAGGCGGCUAUGCAAGACAGAGGUGAAAUCCCCGGGCUCAACCUGGGAACUGCCCUUGUGACUGCAUAGCUAGAGUACGGUAGAGGGGGAUGGAAUUCCGCGUGUAGCAGUGAAAUGCGUAGAUAUGUGGAGGAACACCGAUGGCGAAGGCAAUCCCCUGGACCUGUACUGACGCUCAUGCACGAAAGCGUGGGGAGCAAACAGG